rnacentral:rRNA from 1 species
UAUACAAUGAAGAGUUUGAUCCUGGCUCAGGAUGAACGCUAGCGGCAGGCUUAACACAUGCAAGUCGAGGGGUAACAUUGUAGCUUGCUGCAGAUGACGACCGGCGAACGGGUGCGUAACGCGUAUAGAAUCUGCCUUGUACAGGAGGAUAGCCUUUAGAAAUGAAGAUUAAUACUCCAUAAUGUUGGUGAGUGGCAUCGCUUACUAAUUA